CGUAGGGUGAACCUGCGGAGGGGAUCAUUA
rnacentral:rRNA from 1 species